rnacentral:rRNA from 1 species
AUUGAACGCUGGCGGCAGGCCUAACACAUGCAAGUCGAACGAGUGGCGGACGGGUGAGUAAUGUCUGGGAAACUGCCCGAUGGAGGGGGAUAACUACUGGAAACGGUAGCUAAUACCGCAUACCAUCGGAUGUGCCCAGAUGGGAUUGGCUUGUAGGUGAGGUAACGGCUCACCUAGGCGACGAUCACAAGCUGGUCGGAGAGGAUGACCAGCCACCCUGGAACGUAGCAACGGUCCAGACUCCUACGUGAGGCCGCAGUGGGGAAUAUUGCACAAUGGGCCCAAGCCUGAUGCAGCCAUGCCGCGUGUAUGAAGAAUGCCUUCGGGUUUUAAAGUACUUUCCGCGGGGAGGCGUUACCCGCAGAAGAAGCACGGGCUAACUCCGUGCCAGCAGCCGCGGUAAUAC